GCGACCCCUUUAGCGGCGACCCCUCCUUUAGCGGUGACAAGCACACGGAUCUGCUUUUACCCCUUCUUCAUUAAACCUGACCGUUGAUUAGGGUUCUGAUCCAACGGAUGGAGAAAUAAUUGCAGGCGGGCUUUUUCCCUCCCAUCUAUUUUCACCAAUUCUCUCUUACCCCCAAAUAUUGCCUCCAGUAUUGCUAUUGCAGAUCUCCCCCAAAAUCACCACCCAUACGAGACGACGCAUCUCCAAAAUCACCACCACAUACACCUACCGGCACCAGACGCACCCCACCUUCAACCCUUUGUGCACCAGACGCACCACACCUUCAACCGCCAUCUUCAUCCGCGACUCCGAAACCACCACAACUAGUCUUCAUCACCAACGACCCACCAGCAUCCAAAAUUGAAACUUGGAAGAGAUCCCAUGGGCCUAAACUGGAGCCAGAUAUGUUGUGGAAUCGACCGGUGUUUUUACCGUCAUGGACAAAGUCGCUGCUCAUCUAUGGUCAAACUGGUCAACUAUGGUCAAACUCGGCUACAGGGUCUGAAUAUGCUGCCACAAGCUGGGGAGUUCAAUGAGGUAAAACUAAAAGAUUGUAGGUAUUGAAUAUGUAAUAUAAAGCCUAUUGAUACUCGCGAAAUGCUAACCAGUAUCUAGAAGACAAGGUAUGUUCUUUUAUUUGUUUUUGCAUUCACAUCAACCGUCACUUAUUUUAAAUAAAUAUACUGAUGGUUCUUGUUGUUGGCUCAUUUCUUCUUUCAGCAGCUCAUUUCAGGAGUCAGCUACUUCCACAAUAUGGUAUAAGUUAAAUAAGUAGCUAGUUUAUAUACAAAUUCUUGCUUCACGUGUUUGUCUAAUUACAAAUGUCGCCGCUAAAACUCCGGUUUUUUUGUAGCAAGAUUUACGGUGAUAUUAGUGUUGUGCAGUUUUAAGGGGUAUGUGUCUUUUGUUUCUGGGGUGGUGCAGGGAGGACAUAAGCAUGAGCAUAAGGCUUCUCUUUAGUUGCAAUGGAAUUAAAAUCAGUAUCGUAAACACUUAUCAACCUGCAGAAGGGCUCGUCUUAGAAAAGAAGGCAUGUCCAAAAGGUGACCCGACCCGAGCGUACGAUGAACAUUUGGAUUGAAUCAUCAGCAAUAUGAAGAGAGGCCAGAAAUACCAUCUUCCGACAAGUUAAGUUGCGGCAGGGGCUUUUCGAUACAUAACAGGUCCGCGAAUCAAAUUGUAGUUUAACUCAUACAAUGUCAAACUACAAAUGUUUGUCAUCCCCGCCACAACACGCGGGUUGAAAGCACUAGUUACUACUGUUUUAAUAUGGUGAUAUAAACAAACUGCUAUGUAAUUUUUGGGUGUUUGAAUGUGAAUUACUGUUUAAUUCUUUGUAUACUUAUGAACGUUUUGGUC